rnacentral:rRNA from 1 species
AUGAACGCUGGCGGCGUGGAUAAGGCAUGCAAGUCGAACGAAACUUCUAUCGUCAAAGAUGAGAUUACAUCAAGUUGGAGAUAUCUGAAGUUUAGUGGCAAACGAGGUAGUAAUAAUUAGGAACGAACCCAAAAGUCAGGAAUAAUCUGUCGAAAGAUAGACUAAUACUUGAUAUCCCGCAAGGGGAAAGAUUUAUCGCUUUUGGAUCGGCCUGAUGAGUAUCAGCUAGUUGGUAGGGUAAUGGCCUACCAAGGCAAUGACGCUUAGGGGACCUGAGAGGGUGACCCCCACCGAUGGUACUGCGACACGGACCAUACACCUACGGGUGGCUGCAGUCGAGAAUCUUCCACAAUGGACGAAAGUCUGAUGGAGCGACGCCGCGUGAUUGAUGAAGGGCUUCGGUCUGUAAAGAUCUUUUAUAGGGGAAAAAGUUAUUGAUUGUACCCUAUGAAUAAGGGGUUGCCAAACUCGU